UGCAAUACUGCUAGGUGACCCAAAU
rnacentral:piRNA from 1 species